AUUGAACGCUGGCGGCAGGCUUAACACAUGCAAGUCGAGCGAGCGGCGGACGGGUGAGUAAUGUCUGGGACACUGCCUGAUGGAGGGGGAUCACUACUGGAAACGGUAGCUAAUACCGCAUACCAUCAGAUGUGCCCAGAUGGGAUUAGCUAGGAGGUGGGGUACUGGCUCACCUAGGCGACGAUCCGUAGCUGGUCUGAGAGGAUGACCAGCCACACUGGAACUGAGACACGGUCCAGACUCCUACGGGAGGCAGCAGUGGGGAAUAUGGCACAAUGGGCGAAAGCCUGAUGCAGCCAUGCCGCGUGUGUGAAGAAGGUCUUCGGGUUGUAAAGCACUUUCAGCGAGGAGGCGUUACUCGCAGAAGAAGCACCGGCUAACUCCGUGCCAGCAGCCGCGGUAAUUC
rnacentral:rRNA from 1 species